rnacentral:lncRNA from 1 species
UUUUUUUUUUCUUGGUACACAUGGGACUCAGCACCUUUAUAAACCAAGCCAAACCACAUAACAUAUAUGUGUGGGGAUUUCUCCUUGACUUGAAUACUGGGAAAGCCAGAACAAACCAGAUGUGCUUUGCUAAAGACUGUGUAGAAUCUGAAACUUUUGGCUUUCCUGAACCCAGGCAAGCACUUGAAAAUGGACUCCAGGGUGCCUGGGUGGUUCAGCAGUCAAGCGUCUGCCUUCGGCUCAGGUCGUGAUCCCAGAAUCCUGGGAUCGAGUUCUGCAUCAGGCUCCCUGUGGGAAGCCUACUUCUCCCUCUGCCUAAGUCUCUGCCUCUCUCUGUGUGUCUUAAAUAAAUAAAUAAAUAAAUCAUAAAUAAAUAAAUAAAUAAAUAAAUAGAUUCUUUUAAAAAAGAAAGAAAAUGGACCCCAAAUGUCUUUGAUACACUACUGUUUCAUAUUCUAGCCAAAAUCUCAUUUAUUCACUUACAGCUAUAUGAAGAUACUCAGUAUCUUGCUUUUGGUAAUACAAUAAAUGUCAUUUUCCAUAACAUUGUUAUUUGCCAUAAAGGCAAGCCUAAUGACCUUGAGAAAGAGUAUAUUCAAGGAUACAGCUCUGGAUUUAACAUUCCAUGUGGUUUUAACCCAUAAUGACUUCCAAAUAUUUGAUUAAUUGCCCAUAUUUUUAUCUAAUUCAAGAAUGAAGCUUAUUUUAAAAAGAAAAUGAUAUAAGAAAUGAAGUGUAUUUGUAAAGUUUUGAGCUUCUGUCUUUCACAUGCAUUAGGUUUAUCAAAGGUAUCAGGACUCGCAAGUUCAGGUUAUUCACAGUUUUUAUGAAGCAUAUUGAGACUUGACAGAUGGUACGUUUUAUUGCUGACAUCAUUUGAGCUUCGAAAAAAAGUGUUUAGAAGGCUGCUUAUUCAUAUAGAGUUCAUAUGGAAAUUUCUGGCAAAAACUGGACUAUAGUUGUAUUUCUAUAUCUAUCUGUUGAUUGAUCUUUCAUGUUUGGGUUUUGGUUUUGGUUUUGUUUUUUUUGCACCUUAGGAUUUCAGUUAUUUUUUUGUAAAUCUGUUAAUCUCUUAUAGUUCACUUGCCUCCUGCUAAAGAUUUUGUCCUGUUGGUGGGUGUUCUAACCAGUUGGCUGAGUUGGGCCAUUCCAGGAUAUACCAAAGUCUGUAGCCUUGCUCUCAAGGCCAGGUCUAUAAAUAAUCCUUCAGUUUUCACAUAGCACAGUGAAUAUGGUGAAGGAGGCAGGAAGGUGGAAGAUUUCUGAGAUGUUCAGCAAGCCAUCCUUGGGCAUUCAGCCUCAUCUAAAAACUUCCCCAUUGGAAUCUGGGCCUCCCAUUGAGUAGUUGAGGUUAAACUGUUCAGACUCCUAGCCAUGGUGAAAGAGAAGGCCGGGUUCCAGGGUUUGUAAAAGGAACCAGAUGUUAUUUUAAUGAAAGGAGAGAAUUAUAGUCCAGCUCCCCGUGAUGGUUUCUACUAGCCUUGAUAUCAUUUCUUGUUGAAAGAAAUGGAAAUCUUCAUAACAGAUUAGGAGAGCUGCUUCAGUGGUAUAUCAAAGCAGCAGAUUUGGGGCAGUGAAGGAAUUUCCACACCAAAUGCAUGAGACACUGAGUGUUUCUUGGUCCAUGUCCAUAUCCAUGUGGUAUAUUUAUAAGAAUCAUGUGUGAAUGUGCACGCUUGCCUCGAAUCGUAUGAAGUCUGUACCCAGUAUAUACAGUUGUCAGAAUAAAUUAAAAUUGCUUUCUCAAUUACAUCAAACAUCAGUGUGGUAAAGCACAAUAAUGAUAGCAAUUUAGCCACAAAUGUUUCCAGCAGACCACACGCUGGACUUCUUUCAAGUGUACAAAUAAAUCAAAUCACUACAGUAGAGUUUAGGGAUAGCUACACUAUUUGUGUGUACCAGAAACUAUUUGGAAGAUUAUUACAAAUGUGAUAUUUAACAAAGGAUUACUCCUUCACUGUGGAUACUGGUUAGGACAGCCAGGUUCCUCCAUAGUUAGUGUUGCAGCUGAAAGAUACCAAUUAUAUUACCUCCUAAGAUGUUGAUGUACCAAGAGGCUCCUCAACUUGGUAAAACUUCAAAACUAAAAUUUAUUCAUGUUUCUUGCCCAUUUAACUGGAUUAUUUGUUUCUUGUGUGUUGAGUUCUUUCAGUUCUUUAUAUAUUUUGGAUAUUAACGUUUUAUCAGAUAUGUCAUUUGCAAAUAUCUCCUCCCAUUCCAUAGGUUGCCUUUUAGUUUUGUUGAUUAUUUCCUUCUCUGUCCAGAAGCUUUUUAAUUUUGAUGAAGUCCCAACAGUUUAUUUUUGCUUUUAUUUCCCCUACCUGAGGAGAUGUAUCUAAAAAAAUGUUGCUAUGGCCAAUGUCAGAGACUUCAUUGCUGGUGCUCUCUUCUAGAGUUUUUAUGGUUUCAGGUCUCACAUUUAGGUUCUUAAUCCAUUUUUAGAUUAUUUUUGUAAUCUAAAAUAAGUCAAAGAAAGUGGUCCAGUUUCAUUCUUUCAUACGUAGCUGUCCUGUUCCCAACAUUUGUUGAAAAGACUGUCUUUUUCCCAUCAUAUAUAUUCUUUACUCCUUUGUUGAAGAUUAAUUUACCAUAUAAUUGUGGGUUUAUUUCCGGGUCUUCUAUCCUGUUCCAUUGAUCCACGUACCUAUUUUUGUGUCAGUACCAUACUGUUUUCAUUACUACAGCUUUGUAACAUAACUUGAAAUCUGGAAUUGUAACACUUUCAGUUUUGUUUUUCAAGAUUGCUUUGGUUAGUUAGGGUAUUUUGUGGUUUAAUACAAGUUUUAGAAUUAUUUGUUCAAAAUAUUCAGAUGGCCAAAAGACACAUGAAAAGAUGCUCAACAUCACUCAACACCAGGGAAAUGUAAUAAUAAUAAAAAUGAGAUAUAACCUCACAUUUCUCAGAAUGGCUAAAAUCAACAAUAUCAGAAACAUCAGGUGUUGGUAAAGUUGUGGAGAAAGGGGAAUUCUCUUCACUGCUAGUGGAAAUGCAAACUGAUGCAGCCACUCUGGAGGACAGUAUGGAGGUUCCUCAAAAGGUUAAAAAUAGAACUAUCCUACAAUCCAACAAUCACACUACUGGGUAUUUACCCAAAAAAUACAAAAACACCAAUUCAGUGGUGCACUGAAUAUAUGCACUCCAAUGUUUAUUGCAGUAUUAUUUAUAAUAGCCAAACUAUGGAAGCAGUCCUAGUGUCUAUUCAUAGAUGUAUGGAUAAAGAAGAUGUGCCAUAUGUAUAUAUAUGUAUAUAUAUAUAUAUAUAUAUAUAUACAUACACACACAUAUAUGUAUAUAUAUACACAUAUAUGUAUAUAUACACACACAUUUAUAAUUAUUCCAUUAUACAAUUGAAUAUUUCAUUAUAUAUGUAUAUAUCAUUGUAUGCACAUUAUACAUAUAUGAAUAUUAUUCAGCCAAAGAAAGAAAUGAAAUCACGCUAUUUGCAACAACAUCAAUGGAACUAGUGUAUAUUAUCCUAAGUGAAAUAAGUCAGUCAGAGAAAGACAAACACCUUAUGAUCUCACUCAUGUGGAAUUUAAGAAACAACACAAAUGAGGAAAGCAAAAAAGAGAGAGGCAAAUCAAGAAACAGACUUUUAACUAUUGAGAACACACGGAUGGGCACCAGAGGGGAAGUGGGUGGGGGUAUGGGUGAAAUAGGUAACGGGGAUAAAGGAGAACACCUGUUGUGUUGAGCACUGGGUGUUGUAUGGAAGUGUUGGAUCAUUAUAUUGUACAUCUGAAACUAAUAUUACACUGUAUGUUAACUAACUGGAAUUAAAAUUUUAAGACUUAAUGAAAUAAAAAUAAAUAAAAUGUAGCUAUCUACACAAAAUCAAGAUGAUUAAAAUAACAGAGAAAAAUGCAUGAGAGAUGUAGAUACAGAGCACUAAAUAAAUAUGCCAAGAAAAGGUUAUUCUGGAAAAUACCCUGUAAAUGCAUCAAUCUAACUUGUGAAGUAAAUUUAAUAUUCAAAAUGGAUUUGAGCACAAUUAUUAUCUUAUACUAGUUGGUUUCAGAGAUGUCUGUACAUAGACAUGAAUACAUUUAAGAUAUUUUAGUGAUGUUAAAAUAUGAAAUGAAUGAAAUUGAAUAAAGAGCAAUAUCACUUGUAGUCCUUGUUUUACUGUGCAAAUAUACUUUAUGUUAAAAAGUGACUUCGUUAUUCUAACAACCUAUUACUAUGAUCCAAAGUAUGAAAUAUAUUUUCUGAUUUUGGUAAGAGCAAGACCAUAUUUUGUCGACAUAAAGCUCACAACAUGGCAUUCACGGCUCAGGUAAGCAGUGGGAUACUACUAGGUUAUGGGGUAUCAUUGUGUAUGAGAGCUCUCUACCAGCAGAAAAGAAGAAACUGGAUCUGUCAGGACAUUUUUCUUGAGGCAUGACGCAAAUAAUUCUCUAUCAAGCCUAAUAUUUAGUUAUGCAGCUGCAGAGAAGGUCUGAUCUAGGAUUUGUGCCAAAUGUUAUAUUCUAUAUAGGAAAAUGGGACAAAUCUGCAAAAUUCUAGCUGGGGCUGAAAUUAGUAAUUUAUUUCUCAAUUAUUCAAUUAGAUUUAAUUUGAUAAUUCCUAUUAAAUUCAGAAUGACAUUUAAAAAGAGUUUUGGUACUUCCAAUCUUUUUUUUUUUCUAAUGUGAGGCAGAAAGAUGGCUGCCUAUGUUUCUGAACUUGAUGGACUUGAUGGACACAAGUACCAUCACACACUCAUGCAUAGAACUGCAUAAAACAAAGUUUAAUUAACAUGUACUUUCCCUUUGUUUCCUGAGCUCAUGGGGUUGAUAUGGGAUGAAUAUGUGCCUUUUCUCUUUCAGUAGAUAUUCCUUCUUGAGAGGAUAAGGAGAAUGGGUAGACUUACUGAAAGAGUAAUGCACGGUCUUCUGUUGUAUUAUCUUUGUGUGACAUAAAACCCCAUGGCAUGUGACACUAGAAAAGGUCAUGAUGACAAGCUGAUCGCUGCAGUUCUGGAGGAUUCUGUAUUAUGACUGUGCAUGACUCUACCUUCUCACUGCAAAAUGCCUGCAACAACAAAAUGUAUGUGUUCCUUUGCAUUUUCAGAAACACUUCAGAAAAGUUUCACUUGCCCCCAAACUUCUUUCAGCCAUUCUUGGGGACCAUUGCUCAUUUCUUGAUUGAGUACAUUUGAACAAGAAAUUUACCAUCCAUCUGAGCACUGGUUAGUACAACAUCAAUAAUUAUGUAUUAUUGAUAAUGAUGAAAGAUAAAGAAAAGUAAAACACUAAAAGUGCCACAGCUCUUUCCUUCAGAAUAGAUAACAUUCAAUUACAAAACAUUUAUACAGCAGUUAAAAUGCUUAAAGCACUGAGGCAUAUCAAAAGCAAACAGAUUUUGCCCUCCUGUAGAGUUAUCUUAAUGGAAAAGAUCAGGGGACAACUGAUCACUCACCAAUACGACUGAAAGAGAAGUAAAAGCCUUGGCCCCUGGAUUAGCAAAGGUACUCAUUGUGUCUAAGCACAGAAAGGGGGAGUCCUUGGCUGGGACUUUUCGUGUCACACAAAAGCCAAUGCACUUUCUAAGGGGGCCCUAGUCCGGAAACAAGGUCCAUAAGUGCCCUCGGAUCCCUGCCCAGUGGGGAUGGAGAGGAUUGCAUACUAAUGAGUGGAAUCAUAUACUGAAAUGGAAAGAUAUAGAUGAGCCAAUUAGACAGUCUGUCACCAUGGCAAAGUCUGCUCAUGAUAAAUAAGAGCAAUUUUCUAUUUUCUCUAAUCUAUCUCAAAUGUCAAAGCUCUCACCAAGUUCUGAGGGCUGUUUCUUGUGUUUGUGUUCAGUUCCCGGCUUAGAGGGGUGGUGUGCUGAAAUGAAGAGGGCUAUCUGAAGCUCACUCUGCUAUGUAUUAGCGGUGUGACAUUGGCCAUGGCAUGUGCUUUAUCAGAGGUUCUUCUGUUCAUCUAUAAAAUGAGGACGGGUAUGCCCACUUUGAAGGAUGGUUGAAAAGAUGAAAGCAAACUAUAUAUGUAGAAGUUUUAUGUCAGGACUACUCUGAAGGAAACACGUUCAAUAAUUUUCAAUUAUCCAAAUUUCCUGCCUUUAAAAAUGCAGGAAUAAAACUGAAAAGGCAGUACAAAAACUUUAAAGACACUACACAGAACGGAGGAGCUCUACCAAAAAGAAGUGGAAGGAUGGCAUGUACAUAUUUCUAGCAAGGAGGAGCAUUUCCAAAUGGAAGAAAUUCACUAAAAGGUUGUUUCCACAUACAAUUUGUCUUCAAAAAAAAAAAACCAAAGAUAUUUCUAUUAACUCAAAUGAUCUUCUAAAAGCAGGGGGAAAGAGAGGAAACUAUGAAAAGUGAUCACAAAAAAGUUAUCUGUAGCAAUUCAGGCAGAGCCAACAAAGCAUCCUUCUCAAAGUGUGGGAAUUACACUAUAGGAAUAUCUAAUGGCUUAAUUAAUCACAAACUUCAGUAAUAUGAUGGUGGGCUGCUAAUGGGAGCUUCUCCAGAGCUUAUCUGGCAUGUUGGAACAACAAGAGAGGUAGGGCUGGGUAAUUUCUAUCCCCAUCUCCAAAGGAUAUUCAGCAUUAGGAGCAGCCCAGGAUCUGACUUCUGUUGGCUGGAGAAAAGUGAAGACAAAAUAACUCACACAUGAAAAUAAGCCCAUGUCAGAAGUUGCUUCACUAUGAAGUGGAAAUAAUUCUUGCUAAUCUGGUUAUGGUUUCACUCCUGAAUAAACCUUUUUACAAGUACCUGAUCUAGAAAGGUCUUCUAUCAAAGGGUAUGACAUAAAUCAAAAAGUUCCCAGCAUGGAACUGUUUAUAUAAUUAUAACACAAGACAAGGUUAUGGAAAAUAUUGGAAAAACAAGUGAAACAUCAACACUUAACCAGAAAAGGUAGUUACUGAGCCAAAGAAUCAUUUAAACAAAAUACACAACAAUGAAUAAAAAUAAUGAAAGGAAACAUGUAGAGAACUUCGAGCAGGUAAAGGCUCAGUGCAGACAAGGAGAUGGAAUACAAGCUAUUUAAAAGCAAAGAAAAGGAAGGGAUAUUUUUUUUAAAUCACAAACUGUCAUGUUGUAAAUAGCACAAGGGAAGUAGACAUUGUCCUUAACAUGUAGGAUUAGAUUAGGAAAAUAGUCUAAGUAAGUAGGUAGGUAGAUAGAUAGAUAGAUAGACAGACAGACAGAUAAUUAAAAAGGACUCAGAGCAGAUAAGGAAGAAAAGAAGAUCCAAAAUCCACAUAACUGGUGUGGAUCUUUUGGAAGAUCCAAAAUCCACAUAACUGGUGUGCCUGAGUAAGAAAAACAUAUGAAUGAACUAAAAAGUAUUAAAUAUGUUAUUUAGGAUGUAAUGCAGAAAUAUCAGGAUAAGAAGACUUGAAUAUACACAUUAAAAUGGUUAUAUUGUACCAAGAAUAUUUGAGAGAAAAGUCAAGAACCUUAUCUCUAUUAAGAUUUUACACGACUUUUGAAGAUAAAUAUUUUUUCUUUGUAAUUGGGUGAAAAAAAGGAAUACCAGAAAGUCACUUAAAAGAGGAAAGUAAAUCACAAUUAUACUCAUCUUCAUUUCACAAUGACAUCCCACAUUUGAAGAUAGUGGGACAAUGUAAAAUAUUCAUGGAAAUAAAAUGUUAUACCCAAGCAAAAUAGCAUUAAAUUAUAAAGACUUCAGAGCACAUUUUCAAAUGGAAACAUAGUCAGAAAUUACAGUUGCUGUGAAAUUGUUCUGACAAUUAGGAAAAAAAUAGCUAAUGGAAAAACUGAAUGAAGACUAUUAAUAUUGAACUCUACUUAAUGAUGUGUUGGCUGAACUGCUUAAGAAUCUACUGAAACCUGCAAAUUAUUCUGAAAUGCAUCAAGAAAUAAGAUGGAUAGAUGGUAGAGGAAUCGCUAAAGGGAUAGUCAGAUGAUUAAGCAUAGAUAGCAAAUAUCAAUUGUAGAAUCUAGAUAAUGGUUAAAAUGUGUUCACUAUACAACUAUUUUAAUUUUUCUAUAUGUUUAAAAAUGUUCAUAAUAAAAUGAUGGGAAGAUGAAUCAAGAAAUUGAGGGAAAAGCAUUGGCUUGGUAUUAGUUCAUUUAUGGGAUUAAGAGUAAAGCUGGGAAUUAUAGAAAUCAAUGUUUUACAUCAUGGCAAUUUAAAAUUGCUAUAACAAAAAAUAAUAGGAGAGAGGAGAUAGGAAGUAGAGUGAUGUUUAUAAUCAGGGAUCAAAUACAGAUCCUUUAAUGGUGAUAUAUUAAUCAAGAUAUAAAUGUAAACACUCGAGGAACCAGGAUAAAUAUAAUCAAGUAAAAUUGAUGGAUGGAAUUCUUAAGAUACUUCAUAAUUUCUUCACAAGUCAUUGUGGAGGGGUGAUACUGUCUUUAGACACACAAACAAAGACCAAGUACAUCUCAUAAAUGUAUAAUUACAGAGUUAGCCAUUGUAAGAACUAAAAACAGUUCAUCAGGAUUCUGUAACUAAAAAGAACUAAACACACACCAAAAACAAAGGGGGAAGGUGGAUAAAAGAAACCAUAUAAAGAAAAGCCUAACAUGCAAUAUGAUAGAAUACAAAAUGUAGAUUUGCUAACCUUACUCCCAUAUUGGAUCACAAAUUUAAUUAUGUACUAUUUUGGUGAAUUUUAAAGUGAUUGAAAGUACUGAAUAUUAAAAAUAUGGAAAGGCAUAUCAGGCAAAUGCAAAAAAGGGAAAAUAACUGGUCAUAUUCUCAAGUAACAGACAAAAUAGGGUAGUGAGCGUUACUGUGACAAAGAAUGGCCCUUUAUGAUGGCAAAGGAUAUAAUCUGCAACAAACAUAUAGAGGUAUGAAUAUCAAUACAUCGUGUAAAUAUCACAGUCAAAUUCAUGUAAGAAAAAAAGACAGCAAUGUUAGUAGCAGAUUUUAAUUUACCUUUCUCAGCCCAUGAUUGAUCAAAUAUACAUAAAAUGAUAAUGAAGUUUCACACAACACAGUGAAUAAGUUAGAUCUUAUUCACUUAGAAUAAGUAUGUAAUUUAUUGAAUCCCAUAACCUGAAGAUAGAUAAUCUGUCCUCCUCUCCAUCAUCCACAGAAAAACACUGCCAAUUUUGAAGACACAUCAGACAUUAAAUUUCCGCAAGUAGAAAUGGUAUAGAAGAGAGUAGUCUCAGAACUUGGUACAGAACUGCAACUAAAUAGGAUUUCCCAGUUUUAAUUUUAAGUUACCACAGAAACCAAAGCAGACAUUGGAGAACAUCCAAAAAACAAGGACACUUGUGAUAAGCCCUGGGUGUCAGAUAUAAGGGAUGAAUCACUGAAUUCUAUUCUUGAAACCAAAGUUACCCUAUUGGUUAACUAACUUAAAUUUAAAUAAAAACUUGAAAUAAAACAGAAACCCAAACAGUUAAGAAAAAGUAAUGGUAAUGGGUAUCGUUCAUUUUGGAACCUACGUGAUAUACCAAAAACACUUGGAAGAAAUUUUAAAACCUUGCACACUUAAAUCAAUAACAAGAAAGAAAGGAAAUAAAUGAGUUAAGAAUCCAAUGAAAAAGUCAGAAAAAAAGAUGAAUAAAAUACAGAUAAAGCAAAAAAGAGAAAGCUAGCGAAAAAUAAAUACUCAAGAAUCAAUGUAUUCAAAGCACACUGAUGUUAGGACUAUUGCACAGAUCUAAAGUUUUAAAAUAAUUAAUAAAAUAGAAAAAAUGGUUCAGCUAAUCGGGAAAAGAAGGACAAGACACACAAAAUUAACAAUGGCAGUGGGGAAUGAGCUACAGAGAGUGGCAAGAUCGAAUGUGUCCAAUGUGUUGAGAGAAGGACAUUAGAACAACGUCUACUAAAAUGGAGAAGGGGCUUAGCAUUGCUCGCACCCAGAAUAAUUGCACAACUGAAAAAUCCAUGAGAAUCAAUUGAAAAACCAUUACAAACGGUAAAGAUACUCUGUGGAGUUAAAAAAAAAAGGGGGGGUGGGGGUGCGGUGACAGGGUGACAGGAGGCUGCCUAAGUACAUACAACCACUCCUCUGAAGCCAGGAUCCUAUUCACAUUCACGACAGGGACAAGAACAAAGGUAACGAAUAUGUAUGAACCCCCAAAGACAUACUGAAUUGCUUCUCAGAUAUUCAAGAGGACAUUUGGAUAAGUAGAAUGGCAGGCCCUAGUUUAGAUGAGAACACAAUAUCCCAAGAGGGGCAAUUCUUGAAUGAAUCUAUACAUUGCAGACCACACUAACGAAAUACCAAACACAUUUUUUUUUUCCAGAUAGAUAGAAGAUCUAAUUUUAAAACAAUCAUGCAAAAACAGCCAGGAAAAAAUCUUCAAAAAAUGAGUAAAUAAGGCAGAAAUAAAUCUGCCAGAUAUAUAAAUGCAUUUCAAGGGUGUAGCAGGGUCUGUGAAUAAAGAGAAACAUGGAACAAAAAGGGGAGGCCAGGAAAAAAUAUAUAUAUAUAUAAAUUUGUAACAUGUGAUAAAAAUGGUGCUGUCUGUCAUUAGAAAGAAAAAAAUCAGUCAAUAAAUGGUGUUGAGGCCCCAUUUUUUUUCCAUACAAAAAAUGGAAACCAUAUCCCUACCUUAACUCAUCGAAUCAAAACAAGUUUCAGAGAUUUAAACACCACAAAUAACAUAAUUAUUAUAGGAAAAAUAAGACAUUUUUUGUCUUAUGUUACCUAAGAUAGGAAACAGUUUUCUAAGUAUAAUACAAAACUGUAAUGUUAUAAACAAUACAUAAAUGCAACCACAUAAAAAUCAAAUAUUUCUGUGAGGCAAAAAUGAAAAGCAAACUAAGUGAGAAAAAUUUUUGUAGUUUCUAUCAUGGAAAAAAAAAAUAGUUCCUAAACUGUGAUGAAAUUCUAUCAAUCCAUAAGGAACAAAAUCCAAGAUUCAAAAGAAAUGUGGAUGAGAGACA